rnacentral:rRNA from 1 species
UACGUAGGGUGCGAGCGUUGUCCGGAAUUAUUGGGCGUAAAGAGCUUGUAGGCGGUUUGUCGCGUCUGCCGUGAAAAUCCGGGGCUCAACCCCGGACUGCGGUGGGUACGGGCAGACUAGAGUGUGGUAGGGGAGACUGGAAUUCCUGGUGUAGCGGUGAAAUGCGCAGAUAUCAGGAGGAACACCGGUGGCGAAGGCGGGUCUCUGGGCCGAUACUGACGCUGAGGAGCGAAAAGCGUGGGGAGCGAACAGG